GGUGAAGAUUGCAAGUGAAUGC
rnacentral:siRNA from 1 species